rnacentral:rRNA from 1 species
CACUCCUACGGGAGGCAGCAGUGGGGAAUUUUGGACAAUGGGCGAAAGCCUGAUCCAGCAAUGCCGCGUGAGUGAAGAAGGCCUUCGGGUUGUAAAGCUCUUUUGUCAGGGAAGAAACGGUGAGAGCUAAUAUCUUUUUCUAAUGACGGUACCUGAAGAAUAAGCACCGGCUAACUACGUGCCAGCAGCCGCGGUAAUACGUAGGGUGCAAGCGUUAAUCGGAAUUACUGGGCGUAAAGCGUGCGCAGGCGGUUUUGUAAGUCUGAUGUGAAAUCCCCGGGCUCAACCUGGGAAUUGCAUUGGAGACUGCAAGGCUAGAAUCUGGCAGAGGGGGGUAGAAUUCCACGUGUAGCAGUGAAAUGCGUAGAUAUGUGGAGGAACACCGAUGGCGAAGGCAGCCCCCUGGGUCAAGAUUGACGCUCAUGCACGAAAGCGUGGGGAGCAAACAGGAUUAGAAACCCUAGUAGUCCCAUGA